UCCAGAGGUCUCAAGCGUUGUUCGGAUUCAUUGGGCGUAAAGGGUGCGUAGGUGGCGCCGUAAGUCAGGUGUGAAAUCUCGGGGCUCAACCCCGAAACUGCACUUGAUACUGCGGUGCUCGAGUACUGGAGAGGAGAUUGGAAUUUACGGUGUAGCAGUGAAAUGCGUAGAUAUCGUAAGGAAGACCAGUGGCGAAGGCGAAUCUCUGGACAGUUACUGACACUGAGGCACGAAGGCCAGGGGAGCAAACGGG
rnacentral:rRNA from 1 species